GACGAACGCUGGCGGCGUGCUUAACACAUGCAAGUCGAGCGGUAAGGCCCUUCGGGGUACGACGAGCGGCGAACGGGUGAGUAACACGUGGGUGACCUGCCCUCCACUCUGGGAUAAGCCCGGGAAACUGGGUCUAAUACCGGAUAUGACCUCUGGAUGCAUGUCUGGUGGUGGAAAGUCUGUGUCUUUGGAUGCUGGCGGUGGGGGAUGGGCCCGCGGUCUAUCAGCUUGUUGGGGGGUGGAUGGCCUACCAAGGCGACGACGGAUAGCCAGCCUGAGAGGGUGAUCGGCCACACUGGGACUGAGACACGGGCCCAGACUCCUACGGGAGGCAGCAGUGGGGAAUCUUGCGCAAUGGGCGGAAGCCUGACGCAGCAACGCCGCGUGGGGGA
rnacentral:rRNA from 1 species